rnacentral:rRNA from 1 species
UACAGAGGUCUCAAGCGUUGUUCGGAUUCAUUGGGCGUAAAGGGUGCGUAGGCGGCGCGGUAAGUCGGGUGUGAAAUCUCGGGGCUUAACUCCGAAACUGCAUUCGAUACUACCGUGCUUGAGGACUGGAGAGGAGACUGGAAUUUACGGUGUAGCGGUGAAAUGCGUAGAUAUCGUAAGGAAGACCAGUGGCGAAGGCGGGUCUCUGGACAGUUCCUGACGCUGAGAAGCGAAAGCAUGGGGAGCGAACAGG